rnacentral:rRNA from 1 species
GUUACAGCCGCCGCGGUAAUACGUAGGCAGCGAGCGUUGUUCGGAGUUACUGGGCGUAAAGCGUGCGUAGGCGGUGGUCCAAGUCUGGUGUGAAAUCUCCCGGCUCAACUGGGAGGGUGCGCCGGAAACUGGGCCGCUGGAGUACGGGAGAGGCAAGCGGAAUUCCUGGUGUAGCGGUGAAAUGCGUAGAUAUCAGGAGGAACACCCGUGGUGCAGACGGCUUGCUGGACCGUGACUGACGCUGAGGCACGAAAGCGUGGGUAGCAAACAGGAUUAGAUACCCUCGUAGUCC